UAAUCGAACAUCUAGUAGCUGGUUCCCUCCGAAGUUUCCCUCAGGAUAGCUAGAGUCUUUAUCAGUUUUGUCAGGUAAAGCGAAUGAUUAGAGGUUCCGGGGAAGUAACUUCCUCGACCUAUUCUCAAACUUUAAAUGGGCAAGAUCCAGUAGUUACUUAAUUGAACUAUUGGGGUCAAUGAGACGACUCUAAGUGGGCCAUUUUUGGUAAGCAGAACUGGCGAUGAGGGAUGAACCUAACGCUCGGUUAAGGUGCUAAACUGCUCGCUCAUCAGAUACCACAAAGGGUGUUGGUCGAUCUUAACAGCAGGACGGUGGUCAUGGAAGUCGAAAUCCGCUAAGGAGUGUGUAACAACUCACCUGCCGAAUCGACUAGCCCCGAAAAUGGAUAGCGCUGAAGCGAGUGACCGAUACCGGGCCAUUGUUGCAAGAUAAUUGGCAACAAUGAGUAGGAGGGCGUGGGGGUUGUGAAGAAGCUUGGACGUGAGUCUGAGUGAAACAGCUUCCAGUGCAGAUCUUGGUGGUAGUAGCAAGUAUUCAAUAAGAGAACAUUGAAGGCCGAAGUGGGGAAGGGUUCCAUGUGAACAGCACUUGGACAUGGGUUAGCCGAUCCUGAGAGACAGGUUAAAUUCCAUCGGAUUGGAGCUUUGGCUCUGUUUCUCGAAAGGGAAGCUGGUUAGUAUUCCAGCGCCGAGACGUGGAUAAUAUGUGGCAACACAAGUGAACUCGGACACGCCAUAGGGGACCCCAGGAAGCGUUGUCUUUUCUUUUUAACAGUUCGACUUACCCUGGAAUCAGAUCAUCUGGAGAUAGGGUUUUCGAACUGGAAUAGCACCUUGUCUAACAGGGUGUCUGGAGUGUUCUCGCUGGCCCCUUGAAAAUCCGAGGGAUAGAUUUAUUCGCACUCUCGAUCGUACCCAUAACCGCAUCAGGUCUCCAAGGUUAGAAGCUUCUGGUCCGUAGGGACAAGUAGAUAAGGGAAGUCGGGCAAAUAGGUCCCGUACUUCCGGAAAAGGACUGGCUC
rnacentral:ncRNA from 1 species